rnacentral:lncRNA from 1 species
ACGGGUGAGUCCUGACCGGCCCUCAGCAGGACCCGGACCGAGAAGCAGUUUCCGCGGGCUCCUAGCCCCGGGCCAGGGAAGUUCUGGGAGCCGGAACUCGGCCGCUCCGUGCUCGGUGUAAGCUCCUAUAAGUGUAGGCUCCAAGAAGCAGUCCCCGCGGGCUCAGUUCCGGGAGCCGGAAUUCGGCCGCUUAGUGCUUGGUGUAUGCUCUGAUAGGAGCAGGGUCCAAGAAGCAGCCUCCGCAGGCUCCGCAGCCCUGGGCCAGGGCGGUUCCGGGACGGUUCCGGGAGCCGGAACUCGGCCGCCCCGCGCUCGGUGUUCGCUCCGAUAAGAUCAGGUUCUAAGAAGCACCCAGGCACUGAACCCUAGCAAUCUGUCUGCAAGCCGCAGGCGAAUUGCAGCCUGAAAUUACCUGUUCUAUGGCUGAAUGAGCUGCGGUCAGUCAAAAACAGGUGUGGUGACGUCAGUUUACCAACAUGGUGGCUGCUGGCCUCCUCUGUGGUCUGACCGGUGUGGAGAACCGAGAUGGACCGCUUCCUUCCCCGUCUCGAACCCAGAAUUCAGCCCUGAGUACGGUGCUUGCGCGGCUGGCAGAAACUGCAGCGCUGUAACCCUGCGUCUCUAUCCCAGCACGCGCUGCAGACUCUAGCCGCGGGGCGAUUUGCUGAAUAAGCAGUGUUACCCUCCGUGCGACAAACCUCUCGCGUUUGAGUCCCCGUAGCCGAUCCUUGUGCGAUGGAAAUCCUUCCUCCAGGUUCCGGAGCACCCCACUAUUGCUGGAAAUUCCUAACAAGAUAUCCUUUAGCCGUCCUGACUUGUCAUACUCCCACACAGUGAAGCAGCACACGGGGG